rnacentral:lncRNA from 1 species
UAAAACUAAAAGAAAGUUUCCAAUUCUUUCUUUUUAUGUAAGAACUUUUUAGGGUUUUUGAACCCAUUUUUUUUUUUGCACCGCCACCACUAGGUCGUCCCUUGGCCUCCGACGGCACCUCGGCCUCCGAUUGCGACGAAGAGGGGACACCACGACGGCACCAGGUAAGAUCCUUUCUCCUUCUUUCCCUUUUUAUUAUAAAUAAAAAAAUAAAAUAAAAUAGAAAGAAUAGAAAAAAAAUAAAAAAAGUCCCGAUUCACCUUCGAAAAAAAGAAAAUCUUUGUAAUCUCAGUCCUUCCCUCUAUUUUCGUAUCUCUUUUACACUGAAUAAUUCCCCCCUUUUGAGUACAUGAAAUAGGGUUUUUAUAGCCCGAAAAUUGUUUGCUAUUUUACAUGUUUUCUUCUAUUGGACUCUUCAAUCCGUGUUUGCAGGCGAAAGUGGAGAUUUCAGCGCGCGCAGAGGUGGUCGACUCCGGAUCUUGCGGCGGGUGGAGAAGUUGCUGUUGGGAUUUGCAGCUAACUGCUCAGGGUUUCUGUUUUGGGGGUUUGGGCUGUUAAUUGGGCCUGUUUUGAGUGGGUCUGGGUAUUAUUGGGCUUGUAAUGAUGAAAAUCAUAAGAUUUGAAUCCAAAAUAUCAUAAAUUUUACUAUCUCAAUUUUACAAUUUCAACUAAAACCACAUUUAGUUUUCAUAUCAAUUUUUAUUUUUAUAAAUUUAUUACAUAAUUAUUUUUCACCAAUAUCGUAAACAAGGCCCUGACCGCUGGAAAAAAAAAUGUGUUUUAACUCCUCUAAAUUUCAAAAAAUUAUAAAUUAAUACAUGCUAAGAGUGCAUUUUAACC